rnacentral:tRNA from 1 species
GAGGGUAUAGCUCAGUGGUAGAGCACAUGCUUAGCAUGCACGAGGUCCUGGGUUCAAUCCCCAGUACCUCA